rnacentral:lncRNA from 1 species
GACACUUUCUGUUGUACCAAAGUCUUCGCUGAUUUUGUGCAUCAACACGUAACAAUAACUAACUGAAACCCAAUUUAGAUACGAUUCUGGAACAUCACUCAACGGAAUAGAAGGGAUUCCAGACCAUCUCUCAACGGAAUCCGAGUGGAUAAGAUUCCGGACCAUCACUCAACGGAAUCGCAGAAGACCAACAAUCAGAAUGUACGGUGGCUCAAAGAAAUGAGACAAUCACAUGCUACUUAAUUUACAAAAACUCAACAAAUGAAGAUUAGGCACAAUUACUAAAUUUAGAACCAAUCACCGAAGCGGAAGGUGAAACCAUAUCGAAGCUACAAAUCCCCAUCAUAAUGGUUAACGGUCAUUACUAGUCCUCACAUUAAUCUCAACAUGCCAAUCAUACAAGUCAAACCACAUUUCCAAUAAACAUGCCACACCCCAUUUCAUAAACAUAAAUUGAUGUCGAAGUAUUGGAAUAACAAUUCAAUAAAACAUAUUCAUAAAACCAAUUCAUAUCCACAUAGGAUCAUAAUUAUGACAACCUGGUAAUUACCAAUAUCACAUAUAUUAAAGUCACUCAUCUGGAGUCCGUGCUAAUGUACCCUAGCACGAUAGUCAAGACAUCACAUUCUAUCACCGCCUAACAAAGAACAAGUCCACAUUUAGAUUUCCUUCGAAAAUUCACAUACUCAAAAAUUCUCAUAUGUCUCCCACAACAACAUUUAAUGAGGAAUCGAACCGUCGUUCUAAUGUAGGGUCCAUGAUCUUACGUCAUUUGCUUCGUAAAAUCCAAUCACUAGAUUUUCACUUAUAAGUCCCUAAGGUCCAUAAACAAUCUACAAUAGCAUAUUAAAAUCUUGUCUCAAUUCAAUGAUAAGAUUGUCAAUUGUUAGAAUAAUUAAGUGGUAGACCUUAUCGAUAAUAUAUACAAUCAACAACAUUUUCAUAAAUCGAAUGUCACAUAUCGGAAAAUUCGAUUUUUUUCCAAAAAUUCUCAAAUUUUACAAGAAUGAAGAUUUUAACAAGUAGAGUAAACUUUGUAUCUGUGGCCGAGUCCAAUUUGGCCAAGAAGGCCCUCAAAUUGGCUCGCACCCAAUGAAACCCUAAGGUGGGUGUUCUUCAAUUCGGCUUCCUUGGUGUUCCAACGCCCCAACAACCAAUUGGGUCUUGUUCUUGGGUCCAAGGGAAGAUGAUUAAGGGUGAUGGUGAAUGGUGAUACUCUCCGGAAUGACAAUUCGUCGUCGAGAACCCCCGGGUUCUCCUAUGGAGUUCUACAUGAAAUAGACUUUAAAACCCUUGAUUUUUUUUUUGUAGAGAGGGAAGGAGGAAGGUAGUGGAGCAAGUUGCAGGUGAAGAAGGUAGGAAAAUCAAAAGAGAAAUGGUAGGAAUUGGCCUAACAUUGGCCGGUUUGAAAAUAAAAAGGGUUUGGUGGUGGUACACGGGUUCACCCAAUAGAAAAAGAAAAUGUCAACCUUUUCCUCCUUCCUAUUGAUCAUUUCUCAACCUUAAAAAAAAUAUGUUGGGUCCCCUUAAUAGUGGCUGCUGCCUAAACUUUUUCCACCUCCUAAUUUGCCCAAUUCCACUUAUAAUAGCCGGUCCAUUAAUCUAAAAAGGGUUUAGGUCUUUUACCCAUAAGUGGAAAUUAAAAUGAUUCCCACAAUCUAAAGUUUCACCAUUUCAAACGUCGGUAACUAUACCGUUAUAAUUCGGACUCGCAAACGGCUUUCGCCUAUGCGUUCGUGGGUUCAAGAUUUAUUUAAAAAACUAGUUGUAACUUCG